ncrna:unclassified sequences Glutamine riboswitch
AUCGUUCAACCAGAUUUGGUCGGAAGUAGGCAAUCGCCGAAGGAACGCACC